rnacentral:rRNA from 1 species
GUAAUGUCUGGGAAACUGCCUGAUGGAGGGGGAUAACUACUGGAAACGGUGGCUAAUACCGCAUAACGUCGCAAGACCAAAGAGGGGGACCUUCGGGCCUCUUGCCAUCAGAUGUGCCCAGAUGGGAUUAGCUUGUUGGUGAGGUAACGGCUCACCAAGGCGACGAUCCCUAGCUGGUCUGAGAGGAUGACCAGCCACACUGGAACUGAGACACGGUCCAGACUCCUACGGGAGGCAGCAGUGGGGAAUAUUGCACAAUGGGCGCAAGCCUGAUGCAGCCAUGCCGCGUGUAUGAAGAAGGCCUUCGGGUUGUAAAGUACUUUCAGCGGGGAGGAAGGUGUUGUGGUUAAUAACCACAGCAAUUGACGUUACCCGCAGAAGAAGCACCGGCUAACUCCGUGCCAGCAGCCGCGGUAAUACGGAGGGUGCAAGCGUUAAUCGGAAUUACUG